GAUGAACGCUGGCGGCGUGCCUAAUACAUGCAAGUCGAGCGAACAGACGAGGAGCUUGCUCCUCUGACGUUAGCGGCGGACGGGUGAGUAACACGUGGAUAACCUACCUAUAAGACUGGGAUAACUUCGGGAAACCGGAGCUAAUACCGGAUAAUAUAUUGAACCGCAUGGUUCAAUAGUGAAAGACGGUUUUGCUGUCACUUAUAGAUGGAUCCGCGCCGCAUUAGCUAGUUGGUAAGGUAACGGCUUACCAAGGCAACGAUGCGUAGCCGACCUGAGAGGGUGAUCGGCCACACUGGAACGGAGACACGGUCCAGACUCCUACGGGAGGCAGCAGUAGGGAAUCUUCCGCAAUGGGCGAAAGCUUGACGGAGCAACGCCGCGUGAGUAAUGAAGGUCUUCGGAUCGUAAAACUCUGUUAUUAGGGAAGAACAAAUGUGUAAGUAACUAUGCACGUCUUGACGGUACCUAAUCAGAAAGCCACGGCUAACUACGUG
rnacentral:rRNA from 1 species